GCAACAAAUGUUAUUUCAUAUUUAAUUUGUAUUUUGUUGUUUCAGAAGCGCCGUUGCUAUUUAAAUGAUGCAAGCGUAAGGUGUGAAGAGUGUUAGUGGGUGCAAGAUAGCAAUGAGCAUUAUAACGCGCCAUGUGCAGGAAGAUAUGUAAGAUAUAGCUAUUAUGAUCAGUUCAGUUUACAGAAUGGUAUUCUAUGACCUUUGUCAUGUCAGCAUAGUGUAAGAAUUGGUAGUUUGGAAGGGGCACUGUUGUAUGUUGAUGUAUGGGUUUAGAGGCAGGGCAUGAUGGAGAGCUGAUUGGCUGAGCUGCAGCUGCAGUGUGCCUUCGAUUUCAGAGGAACACAUUUUAGAUAUUAAUGGGAAAAAUAUGGUUUAGAAUUUAGUGGCUCUUUAAAUGGGCUUUUACACUUUAUAACGAGUUUACAUACUUCCAUCCUUAAUUCCAAUUCUUUUUUAGGGAAUGCAGCUUUUGUUGAAUUUUUGUCCAUUCCAUGCAUCAUUUCCGUGAAUUUAUCUAUAUUUUCUGCAUUAUGGAAAGAAAAAGUAACUAGUAUUUUGCUUUAUCUAUUUUAAUUAGGCUUAUUUAACAUAUUUAAUUCAAUUUUUGCACUAUUUAUACAUACUUAUAUACAGAAUAUACUGUAAACAUAUAUAAAACAUAUUCUUGUGUUGAUGUAUUGUUGUAUUAAUUUUUUUUAAGUUUUGUGACAAAAAUAAUUGUAAUAUAAUGAGAAAAGUACAAUAAUAACAAUCAUAACAAUAACAGUUGUUCAGCCCAUUGUUGCAUUUUUAUACACUUUUAACUCUCUUCUUUUUAUCUAUCUGUGCUUUGAUGUCACCCCUCGUUUGUGCGGAGAGAAAGGGAUGUGCAGCAGUGCAAAACAAAAGCUAGAAUAAAGAGAAAGAGCGAGUGAGAUGAAGAGGUAGAUAAAGAGAGAGAAAGAGAGAGAGAGAGAGAGUCUUAUCUCCUGCACCUUGUGAUGCGAGCUGAUUGGAUUCCGGCAGAUGAAGAUGGGAAUUAUCUCAGAAGGUUUUAUUUGUGAACUGCUGAUUUUUUGGCGCUCUGUCUGAAGGGCUUCCCGCUAACAGAGCGAUUCCGUCGGAAAAGCAGGAAUUCUUACUGACGCUGUUCACUCAGACACUGCUGAACCUGCAGUCUUUUUAAUCAGUGUAGCAUUAAUAUUAAUGCAUGUAGCAGAAUGAUGGCUUUCUUUAUAGAGAUAUAAGAAGAAAAAAUAUUUUUAACUGGAAAAGUGCAUUUCCUGAAGGAAACGCAGGAUGGUUGCUAAGUGGUUGCUAAGGUGAUGCUAUGGUAUCUGUGGUUGUUGCUAGCUGGUUGCUAAGACGUUGCUAUUGUAUCCAUGGGGGAUACUAAAGUGUUGCUAAGCAGUUGCUAGUUGGUUGCUAAGUUGUUGCUAGGUUGUUGCCAAGGUAUCCCCGGUGGUUUCUAUGGUGUUGCUAGGUGGUUGCUAAGGCAUUGCUAUAUUGUCUGUGGUGGUUGAUUUGGUGUUGCUAAUCAGUUGGUAGGUGGUUGCUAAGGUGUUGCUAUGGUGUCUGGUGGUUGCUAAGGUGUUCCUAAGCUGUUGCUAAGGUGUUGCUAUAGAAUCUGUGGUGGGUGCCAACUGGUUGCUAGGUGGUUGCUAAGGCAUUGCUAUGGUUUCCAUGUGGGUUACUAAGGAAUUGCUAAGCAGUUGCAUGGUGGUUGCUAUAGUGUUGCUAGGUGGUUGCUAAGGCAUUUCUUUAAUGUCUGUGGUGGUUGAUUUGGUAUUGCUAAGCAGUUGCAAGGUGGUUGCUAAUGCAUCGCUAUGGUGUCUAUGGUGGAUACUAAGGUUUUGCUUAGCAGUUGCUUGGUGGUUGCUAAGCUGUUGCUAGGUGGUUGCUAAGGCAUUGCUAUGGUAUCCAUGGUGGUUUCUAUAAUGUUGCUAAGCAGUUGCUAGAUGUUUGCUAUGGCAUUGCUAUUGUAUCCAUGGGGGUUGCUUCGAUGCUGCUUAGCAGUUCCUAGGUGGUUGCUAAGGUGCUGCUCUGGUGUUGCCAAGUGGCUGCUAGAUGGUUGCCAAGUAAUGUAUUUGCAUAAAUCAGGUUAUAAUGUACUUGAUUUAUUCGAAACCGUAGUCCAAGCGAGGGUUGAUACUUUUUUUUAAUGUAGAUUUGCAGUUUAGUGAUAUCAUUAUUAUCAUCAUUACUCACCUAUGUGGGCGGAGUCUCCUUAUACUUCACACUGAUUGGUUUGCUCGUAUCCCGAGCGACUAACAAGGUAAUUCCUAUUGGCUGAUGUGUGUGGUGGUGUUAUUGGGAGUCUUGCCCAGGGACUCUUAUUAUUGGUGUAGUGUAGCUUUCAGUCACUCAGAUUAGGAAUUGAACCCCAGUUUUGGCAGCUCACAGCACCUUCUGCACCUGCUGGUCUGGUUCACCUGAGCAGGUGAGCGAUGCCAGCAGACUCCGCCCCCCCGUCGCCGAGCUCUCCAGACUCUUUAUAUCAGAGGGAGCAGGAAUAUACAGGAUCUAAAUAUGUCAUAAUAACUGAAGGCAGCCAGUGGCGACUCCUGGGGCCACCAGCCAACCUCCAGUCAGGGCUCACGGGCAGGCGGCGGGCAGGGAGUGGCAGGCAGUGUGCCGGGUGUCAAAACACGGGAAGCUGACACGGCGCGACGUAACCGCGCAUGAUGGCAGCCCGGCGUGAGCGGCAGGCCGGCACACAGACAACAAGCAACUGGAGUAAUGAACGUGUCAGAAAACCAGAGAGCGAGAGAAAGAAAGAGAGAGAGAGAGAGAGAGAGAGAGAGAGAGAGAGAGAGAGAGAGAGAAAUAUUAGCGAAAAAGGAGGGACAGAUAAAAGAAAGAAAGAAAGAAAGAGAGAAACAAGAGAGAGAUAAACAUAAGAAAAAGGUUAGAGAAAAGCUGAGGAAAAGAGAGAGAAAAACAUUGAGAAAGAGAGAGGAACAGAGCCUAAGAGAGCAAAACAGAGAAAAAGAGAAAGGGCUAGAGUAAUACAAGAUACCAAGAGAGAAAGAGAAACUAAAAGAGAGAGAAACAUGAGAAAGUAGCGUGUGAGAGAGAAAAAAAAUAAGAAAAAGAGAGAGAGAGAGAAAAAUGAGAGAAAACCUUGAGAAUGAGAAAAAGAGAGAGAAAAACUAAGUAAGAGAGAGAAACAGAGAAAAGAGAGAGGGAUAGAGUAAUAAAAGAGAAUGAGAGAGAAACAGAAACUAAAAGAGAGAGAGAAACAUAAGAAAAUAACAUUUGAGAGAGAGAAAAACACUGAGAAACACAGAGAGAGAAAUGUUAAGAAAAAGAGA